rnacentral:lncRNA from 1 species
UGCUGAGUCUGGAAAAUAAGGACAUGCAAAAGGCAGCAGCAACACGAAUGCCCACCAUGACAACCACACUGAAGCUGUGGCUGCUGUUUCAUGGACUUGGUUAAGUUGCCUGAAUUAUAAAUGGGCUUUGAGUCCCCCGUCCACUGGAGUAGCACAGAACGCUCAAGCCACGCAGCAAAACAAAGCAAUCCUUGCCAUAGAGAACACCUCUGCUUGCAAAGAGCUUUGCUGCACAGCCUGAAAAUCCAAGAUGAAAAGGCCUAUUUGCGUUUCUAUUUGUGUUGUUUGAUGUUGCCUACUAAGUACAACUGGAUCAAGCAGCACUUCAGCGCUAGAAAAACUAUCCAGCAUCCUGAGCACUCGUGUGGUUGGACUUGGCUUUGGGUGUUGACUCAUAGGCAGUGCUCACUGUGCUGAAUGGAGGAACCAUGGCUGCAGCAUUACUGAAAGCUGAGGAGUGAAGCAGUGCUCACUGCCUGGAGAACAUGAGCCCAACUGUCAAUCUGUCCAUCCACCCACCCAUCCACCCAUCCACCCACCCACUCAUCCAUCCAUCCAUCCAUCCAUCUGUCCGUCCUCCCAGCUCCAUGCCUCUCUUCCACCACCACAGAACUGAAAGUGCAGUACAGCCAGAGUGAACCAAAAUCCCAGGGAAAUAAUGUGAUUAUUUCAAAAAACAUUAAUUUAAGAAGAUGAUCAUGAGCUCUUUGCUGAGUCCCACCUGAUUUA